rnacentral:lncRNA from 1 species
CAGAAAUGGUGAGAGUGGACAUCUUUGUCAUGUUCCUAAUUUUGGAGAACUGCUUAGCUUGGUGGCUGUGGCUGAGUCUCUUGUUUAGUCUCAGUGAGAUGUCAACUGGGGCCCUAGUCACUCAAAGUAUGGCCUGAGUUUGGAGGAUUUCAUUCUAAGAGGACUUCCUCCUAGGAAGGUAUUGGCAGAUUGUAGGAGGACUCCGUUCCUUACACAGAGGCCUCUCCAUAGGACUGCCGGAGUGGCCUCAGGAUAUGGAAGCUGGCUCCUGAGAGGUUUAAGUAAGUACUUGCAAAUGGGCUUACAUGUCCAUCUGUAUUUUCAUUUCUAUUUCUAGUCUGUAUUUCAAUCCUGGGGUACUUCAAGGUAACUUUAAAAGGCAGAGUUCUAACCAUAGCAGCAGAGAGCAGUGAGUUGUCAGGACUUCCCACCAUUUUUAAAAAUGAACACAUUAUAUUUGGAUAGCAGAGAGGUGGCAACAGCAGGUGCAAUGGCAUGGAGGAAGGAGAGACACAUGUUUGAAAUACAGAUAGGAGGACUGUUGGAUGAGAGCACUUGGGUUGGAAAGAACACGGGGAGAGGUGGAAAACAGAUGGCAAUAGAGAAGGAAGCAAUGAGGUCAAUGACAGAUUAUUGGAAGCAUUUGAACAGGGGACUAACCUGAUCAAAGAGGUGAUGACUAUGAUUGGUCUGGACACAGCACAGAGAGCAGCAGCUUGACAAAUCCUACAGGCAGGAGACAGCUCCAUAUUUUUAUAUUCAUUUAUUAUAAGCAAAAUGCAUGUCAUUGCAGGGUAAUGGGUACUAACUCACUCAAAAAACCCUUGAGAGAAUUCAUUGUGCCCUGCCUUCAAACAAGUAGAAAUUCAGAUAUGACAGUGCUCGUGGAAGACAGUUCUGUGAGCCCACAGCCCAGGCAGUCUUCCUGGGUUCUGGCAGUGGUAGCCAAGGCUGGCCACAGCUUGAGGGAAGAUUUAUGGAGGCAGACACUUUUCCAGUUUUUCUUGAACCAUGUUGUCAGUAUCAUUCAAGGAACUUGUAUUGGCACCACUAUUCAGCCCGCCCUGUGGCAAAUGAAUAUCACUACCUGGUGAUCUGUCCCACUUCAUAGUUCCCAGAGUAGGAUGCAGAUGGUGAAGGGAGCAGAGCUUGUACUAUUGAAAGGUGACUUGGGCUCAAAGCCCAGUCACUUACCUAUGGCUCUCAUGAACCUCCAUUUAUUUAUUAGGUUAAAAAACUAAAAGAUAAAAGAAUAACUGCUGGGUGCUUUCUGUGAGGAUUAGAAGAGAUUCCACUUGGAAAUGACGCACCCCUUAGCUGGUCUUCAUAAAUCACGUAACGAAGAAUGAUGUACAUAUUGACAGGAGUCAGACACCCAUCUGUCUUUGAGGAGGGUGAUCCUGGAGCACGAGAGGCAUCUGCUGGGCAGGUCUCGACUCAGAAGAAAACACUGUGAGACAAGUGGAGCUUCCAAAACCCAUCCUGGGCCAGGUCCUCCAGCUCUCCCACAUUGGUCCUUAAGAACAUGCUCACUGGGGACCUUGGAAUUUGUCCCAUAGACUCUGGUUAUAACAACCUCAGCAUGUUGACUGUGUCCAACUUGCCUUUCAGAGGGCAUGUUUGUAUCUAUACCUGGUGCUUACCUGGGCCUUACCCCGUGUCGGCUGGGCUUCUUGUUCCAGAUUGACCACUCAAAUCUGUCCUCCAGUAAAAGUCAAAGAAACCACAUUGUCAAGACAGCCUGUACUACCUGGGAGAGAACCUGCACGCCUCUGGGGAGCUCAGUGGGGAAAGAGAAGUUUAGCUUUUGUUAUUGAAGCCCCCCACCACCCCCUGCCCGCCAAGGAACUUGGGCAGUUUUAUUACAGUAAAAUUUUGUCUGUCCUGACUAAUGAAAUCAGAAGGUGUGGGAUUUCAUAGUCAUGUUGAAAUGAGCAAAUAAUCAAUUCCAGAUUCCAGGGCCAGAGAAAGCCACGGAGAUCCCCAACUACACAGGAGGGUGCAGGAAAUAGAAACAGUUUCAAAUGUAGCUGUGUGGCCUGAGGCAGGGAGGGCCUGAUUGCAGAUAAACGAGAGUCAGUCUGAAUCAAAGGAAAUGGUCUUCAGUGCUUCGUGUAAAGAACAAAGUACAACUGAAACACAGAAGUAGCUGGAGAGUGAAUAUUUCAAAAGGCCAUAGGUGGGAAGGGAAGAUCAGCUUAUUUAGGGCUGGGCCACAGGCAGGUUGGAGCUCAGCUUCGUGUCAGGGGCUGUGCCACCUCUUCAGGGUGGUGCACCAGAUUUAUGGGCCUGUCUGCAUGUGGCUUCUUGGAGGCAGUCACAUGCACCUCUAAUGAACAGGUAUGCUGAGAUGCAAAAUGCACCAGAGUACAUCUGCAAGAAUCACUCACAGGACAAAUUCCAUUUGAAGGCUAUCUCCAACCUUCAACAGAUGGUGCGCUUUCCCAGACUGGUGCAAACAAUUUCCCUGUCAUGUGAGCACUUAAAAACCAGUCCAGCUGUUGCAAAAUCCACACCCAGGCUUGCGGGCAGGCAGAGAUGACUCUACCAUGUCUCUAGUGGGACCUUCCACCUCCUGCAGGGGUUUUCCACUGUAAGGGCUCAUUUGAAGGCCAAGGAAAAACUAAUUUGUAAUGAGGUAUAGGACAAUCAGGAGGCUAUUGUUCUGUUUUAUUUUGUUUUGUUUUUCCAGCUUUGCUGAGGUCUAAUUGGCAUACUGACGCUGCAAAUGAUUAAUGUAUAUAAUUUGGUGAAUUUGGACAUAUGUAGAGAUCUAUGUGAUCACCGCUAAAAUCUAGGUAACAAACAUACCCAUCAUCUCCCAAAGUUCCACUGUGUCCCUUUGAGGGUGUGUGUGAUAAUAACACUUAACAUGAAACCUAUUCUUUCAUUUUUAAAUGCUGUAUAUAAAGCAGAAGUAGUUCCUUGUUGACCAGGUGAUAGCUGAAAGGUAACUGGCUGCAAAGCACAGGUCGGGACACCUGUCUCCAUCUGUGUCUUUCACCCUAUAAUCUCCUAGAGAGAUGGCCCUUUUCUUACCCUUGUCCACUAUAAUGUGACAGUGAAUUCAUAUUUAUCAGGGACUAACAAUUGUCCAAAUAUUGUUCAUAGUAUUUCAACAUUCAGUUGCCUCAACAGCCUCUGUGGAUGAGGCAAUGGCCAACUUCUCCAAUUUAGAGAUGAAGAUAUUGAAGUGCCAGAAUGUACCCUGGGUCUCACAGCUGGUUUAGAGGUUGAACCCAGGCAGUUCACCCCAGGCCAGCACCUGUGCCCUGGGAGCCAUCCCCUUCCCCCAUGAGAACUACAUGCUUCUCAAAAUUUGGAGAACAACAAACUUACCAGGAACCAUAAAAUGCCAAUGUCUAGGCCUCAUUCUAUGUAUAGAGAUCUCACCUCUGAAAUCUAAGCCUUCCCCUGCCUCCUUGAAGGUAAUGUUGACACUGUCUGUCACCUUCCCUGUCCCAGGCCUCGUGCCUUCAUAUCACUCGUUGGAACCUGUUACCUGCUCCCUCUGGGUUUUUUAUUUGUGCAUAAAUGAACAGUUUUAUAAUUUAAUGCAUGAAUAUAUGAAUUGCUGCAAUUUUAUAGGCUUCAACUACUUAAUUUUACUUUAAAUUCUAAUCACACUUUUAAAUAUGCUUUGGUUAAAGGGGAUUGUCAAAAUUGUAAGAAGCCAGGGCAUCCAGAUUUCAACCUCUGGCAUCCCUGCUCCAUCUCACCGUCCCUCAUUGAUUUAUUUAGAAAGCUGUUCUACUCAACUUUCAAACUGCAUUUUAUAAAGUGAGCUGGCAUGCAACAUCUUAGGCCCAUGUUGCCUCUAAUCAUUUCCACCUUCUCAUAUCUAUCAGGUUUAAGUUACGUCGCCUGCAAGAUCUAGAAUGCAGAGCACAGCUCCAAAAGACAUGUGUGAAUAAAAUGCCAAUUUCACAUGGGCAAUGGCCUGUGACCAUGAGUGCACCCCUCUAUCCCUUAGCCUGCUGUCCUCGGUUUUGUUACAUGAACUUUAUCUGAGACUCUGUAAUUCAAAUUCCCUAGUAGGAAAAAUAGAUCCGAAUGAUCUUCGUUAAAAGUCCAGUACAGUAUGGGAGUCUAAGUGAAGUCUUUAAGCGUGUUUGCUACACGUUCUUCUCCAGACAGAAAAGUGAAAUCAGAGAAUUUUGUGCUAAUCUUCAGGUAAAAAUAUUUUUCCAUGAGAUUCAAAUGUACUUAGUUUCAUUCUCUUUCUUUGGGAAAAUGCCCACAUCUCACUUAAGUGCCACUUAUCAAGCUGUGAAUUUUAGGCCAGUAUAUCUUUUGCUUUUCCCUGGAUUUCUAGCCCCGAACCAUUAUGAUUCUAAUAUCUUGCUUAGAGCCUACUAAAUAGCCAGAAGCUCAUAAAUACCACUUAUCCUUAUGAACCCCCUCUCAUAAAGGGGUUAUGAGAAAACUGAGAGGUUAAUAAUCUUUUCUGUAUCUAUGAGAUUACUGUAUCAUAGAGGGAAACAAUAGGAGCAACCACAGCCAGAAAACCCUUUGGGCACAAACUGCUUAGGGAAUGUGAGUCAGGCUCAUCUGAUAAAGUCAGGCCCACCCAUGGUAAUCUCCCUUUUGAUCCACUUAAAACCAACCAGUGAGAUGAGCCCAUCAGAAAAAUAACUCUACAUGGGCUCCUAGAUUCCUGCAUGUUUGAAUAGUUGUGUUAACACCUUAGAAAGUCAUCAGAGUAAUGGAUUGGCCCACAGAGUACCAACACAGGUAUACAUCUGAUCACACCAUACCUCCUCUUACAGAGUGGUCCCAGCCUUUGAUUCCUGAGUGGGGGAAAAAAAAAUCUAAGGACAAAAUACUGUCUUUGCUAACAAUGAUUACCAUGGAGAUGAUUUUUCAAGGUCGGGGGAUGGGCACCAGCUGAAUCCAAAAAAUUUGCACAAUGUUUUUGAAUAAAUUGAGAAAACCCAUCUCGGCUGAACACAACAUCUUCCUCCACAGAACCUCCAGAGUUAGUGUGAUGAGGUGUCUCAGAGGAAGGUCUGCCUUGUCACCAGUAGUGAGAGAACUGGAGAAGGAACAACUGGAAUGGAGGUGUUGGCUCCUACAGUGUAUAAUACCUAUUUCUAUAAAGACAAAUAAUCAUUCCUAGUCUCAUAUUUAGUGUGAGAUAAGCUUUUUUUGGGGGGUAUGGUCAACCAGUAUUCCUCAUACAUAUAAAAUUGUUCUGAAUUCAAACAAGGCGAGGUGUCUAUUUUCCUAGAGCAGACCCAAAACAAUGUAUAAAAAUGUCCAGGGUCUAAGUAAAGGACUUGAGCUAAAUCAGAAGUGAGGAUGAAGGCAAUAAAAUAAAAUAAAAAUAAGACAUAAGAACUUCCAGUAACAAUAAUGAUGUUAAAAUGCUAAGAAACUGGUGCCAGGUUGAAGUGAAAACUGCGUAAAUUGUUCCAGUAGUGAAAUCUCUUUGUUUUAAAGAAAGUCACUUCAUUUCUAUGGCAAGACCGGUUACCAGCUCAAUAGCACUGCCCAUAUUCUUGUGAUCCUUCUGAUACCAGCCUUUGGGACUGGAUUAUGUCCAUCAAAACUGCUUGUGAGGGAUGUAUCAGGUGCCACUACAAAUAAAAAAUAACACAAGAUGAUUUAUUCAUGCAGUACACUGCCCAAGGCCAGCGUGGGUCAGACGGUAGGAUGUGGUAGAAUAUGUAGCCAUCUAGGGUUCAGCAUUCGGAGAUGAAAAGCCUGAGUUUGAAUCCUUGUUCUAAUACUAGUUCCAUAGUGACAUGAAAGUCUUAUCAUCUCUGCAUACUUUAGUUUUGUCUGUUAAAAAGUCCUAAUAGCACCAGCCCACAGUCUUUAUAGUAAGUGUCAAUCACUUAAAAUAUAUUGUUACGGUUUGAGUGUUUUGUAUUCUCCAAAUUCAUGUGCUGGAAGCUUGACUCCCAAAGCAGCAGUGUUGGGCCAGGGGGCCUCUCGGGAGAAGCUCAGGGCAUGAGGAUUGGCCCUCGUGAACAGCUGAAUGCCAUGAUUAGAAGAGCUUACACUAAGGCCUCUGCUUUCUUCUGCUCUUCUGCAUGUGAUAACAUGGUGUUACUACCCUGCAGAGGACACAGCAUUUAAGGCGCCACCUUGGAAAGGAAGACCAGAGGCCAGAUCUUCCAGCAACAUGGUCCUGGACUAUCAGCCUCCAGAACCGUGAAAAAGAAAUUUCUAUUUUCCAAAGGUUACUGGGUUUCAGGGAUUCUGCUAUGGAAACACCAGAAGAACUUAGAUAUAAGCACUGAUCCCAGGAGUCAUGGGUUAUGUGAUCGAUGUCUCCAUUAGCUACUAUUAUUUGCCCAAUGGAGAUAGAAAAGGAAAGGAGGAAAUCAGUCCAGACAUCAUUGAGCAGAAGCUGUGGCGUCUCUUGUGCCAGGGCCCUGACUUGGGGAGUGGGCAGGUGUAAAGGGGCACAGACAGAAGCCAUAUCUACUGUAGGACUCAGUUCCCUGGAGCAAAGUGGGGUACCAGCCGGGCAAAGCAGACGCUGCUGUGGUUGGGAAGCUGCCCAUGGGUGUCGCAUUAAUCUAAUCGGGAUGAGAUUGGGAUCUUUACAAAAUGUAUGAGAUCUCUCAUAAAAUCCGCCUUCCUUUAGUGAGAAAGCACCGCACCGUGUCCACCCUGCUCACUGCAAGGAAGGGCCACUGCGCAGCUGUUCCCAGGGAGCGGGGUGGUCAGGGGUUCAUGACAUGCUGCGGUGAAGAGUGCAGCACCUUUCCUGCGCCCAGGGCAGACAUGUGCAAGCAGAGGAAGUGGAUGAAGACGGAAGAUCCCUCUCCAGUGGGUGCUGGCCUCAGCCCUCCCGAGCAGUCCAGGGGUGAGAAGCAGGUUCCUUAAAAUCUGAGAAGUUGCUUGAAGCGCACUGCCUGUGGGGACACCAUGCCUUCUGAGGCAGACGGAAAAGGCAGCAUCAAAACCAGACAUUAAGAGAAAGGCAGCCUCUUCCCAAGCCUCGCGCUUGCAUUUCUGUGGCUCCCAGAGACCCUUGCGUUUGCUUCUCUGAAAAUCACUUUUUGUUUCCGAACUAAAGCCAGCUUGUUUUUCAAAGCAGAAACAACAAAUUCUUCUGUUUAUGUGAAACUCUAGCAGACAGGUCCUGGCCUGAUCAGGACCUCGAUGGGGUAGCAAAGAAAACAGAUCCUAAGUGGAGUUGGUUAUGCUGGUUAGAGAAAAGGCACAGGAAACCUGGGGAAGAGACACACAGAAACUUUAUGAUGUCAAGAAAGACUAAAACUCUAGGAUUAAACAGGGUGCUUCUAAAUGUUAAGCAUUCUGACGCCUAAACUCCUCUGCUGUGUGCCUGUCAUAAUUUUCAAGGCCUGGAUUGCAAAUACUUUCCUGGGCAAAGAGCUUAUGGCUACCCAAGACAGCUCCAACAAUCGGAAGCUGUUGCUGCAUUAGGCAAACAUCAGAAUAUCUGGUGUAGCCAAUCUUCAGUUCGUUUUUUGCAUACAUUUAGUUCCACGUGGAACAAAUCAGGAAUUUGUAAUUUGGCUAAAUGUAAAUGAACAAGUUUAUUCCACCUUCCGGAAUCUCAGCUUUUUCUUCUGUAAGAGGCAGUGACAAUGUAUCUGCUUCAUAGACCUGCUGGGAAAACUGACUACCCAUAUGUAGAAGAAUGAAAGUAGAUCCCUCUCACCCUGCACCAAAGUCCACUCAAGGUGGCUCAAAGACCUAGGAAUCAGACCAGAAACUGCAACUGCUAGAAGAAAACAUAGAAUCCACACUAACCACAUAUCCAUAUGGGCACCGAAUUCCUUAACAAAACUCCUAAAGUGCUAGAAAUAAAACCAUGAAUCAAUAAGUGAAAUGGCAGCAAAUUAAAAAUCUUUUCACAGCGAAGAAAACGAUUAAAAGGAUGAAGAGAGUAUACAGAAUGGGAGGCCAUUUUUGCCAGUUACUCUUUCAACAAAGGACUAGAAUAUGUAAAGAACUCAAAACAAUUAACACACACACUCUCACAAUUACACAGUCAAUAAAGGGCAAAUGAACUAAACAUAUAUUUAUCAUAAAAAACGAAAUAUAUGUGCUGAGCUUGAGGCUCAGUGGUAGAGCGCUCUCCUGGCACACGUGAGGCACUGGGUUCGAUUCUUAGCACCAUAUAAAAAUGAAAUAAAGAUAUUGUGUCCACCUACAACUAAAAAAUAAAUAUUUUUUUAAAAAAGAAGAAAUAUAAAUAGCAAAAAAAUGUAUGAAAAAAGGUCCAAUAUCCUUAGCAAUCAAGGAAGUGCAAAUCAAAACUACAUUGAUAUUUUGUCUCACUCCAAUUAGAAAGGCAAUCAUCUAGAAUAUAAAAACAAAAAAUGCUGGUGAGGACGUGGGGAAAUGGUACACUCACACAUUGUUGGUGGAACUGUGAAUUAGUACUACCGUGUUUUGGAAAGCAGUAUGGAGAUUCCUCAAAAGACUAACGAUGGAGCCACCAUAUGAUCAGCUAUCCUCUCCUUGGUAUUUAUUCAAAGGAGCUAAAAUCACAUGCAUAACAAUGAUUAUAGCAGCAUGAUUAGCCAAUUUAUGGAAACAGCAUAGGUGCCUGUCAACAGAUGAAUAGAUAAAGAAAAUGUAUAUGCACACAGUGGGGUUUUACUCAGCCAUAAAGAAUAAAAUUAAGUCAUUUGCUGGUAAAUGGAUAAAACUGAAGAACAUCAUGCUAAGUGAAAUAAGAAUGUCUCAGAAAGUCAAGGGUUGAAUAGUUUCUCUCAUAUGCAGAAGCUAGAGAAAAAUAGGGGGAAAGGAGGGGAUCUCUUGAAAAUAAAAGGAGAAUAACAAAGGAAAGGGAUUAAGGAGGAAGCAGAGAUGGUAAAAGGAAAGACUUGUGAAAUGAAAUGGACCAAACUGUGGUGUAUUUAUGCAUGAAGAUAUCACAAUGAAUUCUACUCUCAUGUAUAACUAUAAUGUAUGAAUUUUAAAAAAUAAAUAAAUAAAAAGAAAAAAAAGAUCAAUAGAGAAGAAGAGGAAUGGGGGGAGGGAAGAAUUGGAGAUUAAAAUGGAGCAAAUCCCUUGAAUGCACUAAUGAAUGUGUCCAAAUGAGCCCCACUAUUAUGUAAACUAUAAUGCACCAAUAAAAGCAUUUAGCAAAGAAACAAAAUGAUUAAAGGAGAUAUUCCAUAGAAAGAAUUUCACAUCUGAUUUGACACAUUGUCCGGGUCUUGCUGAACCUUAGGAUUUUCUUCAAGUACUAUGCUCUAGAUGACACUCAUUCAAAUAAUUUUAUCACACAGAUCACAUAGACUACCUUCAGGGAUAUAGGAUUUUGUGUAUUUAUUUGUUUGUUUGUUUUACAGCAUCUGAGGAUGGAACUCUGGGACUUGUACACAUGAGGCAAGUCAUCUACACUGAGCCACAUGCCCAGCCUGUGGAUGCAAUUUUAGGUGCCAAUAAAUUCAAUUAGACUGAUGCAACCUCGGUAAAGCUUCAGAAAGAAUUUUCUGCUGGCCAGAGUAUAGGCUGGCCACUGUGAUUACAACAGAGAUAAACAAGACUCUCUAGGUGUCCUGGAGAGGGUGGGAAAACUUGGGAUGUAGUCAAGAUUCUGCUCUAGGACGUAGUCUGUGAUCCGGGAUAAGAGGGCAGGAUUCUCCAGUCACACUAAGUUGAUUGUGUGCUUUAAAUGUCCUCUACACCCCUCCAGUUCUCAAGGGAUAGGACCUGCCUUGUUGCCAAGGAGGGUACAGAAUAGACCCUGUGGGUAUCAGGGUGGAGGAUUGGGUAAAGGCAGACGGUGAAGAAAAAAGUAGCUAGAGACUAGAAUUUAAGAGAGGUUGAAAUAAUUUCUUGAAAUCAAUUUAAACCUGUUCCUGAGCUCCCUUGGGCUUGGAAGCUCGGGUAAAUUUCCAUCUGUCAGGGUGGAGGAACCUUGAUGCUCCCAGGUCAAUGAGAGGACAGAGAUUUUUGUUUUUAUUCAAAAGCUGACUCUAGGAAACAGGUUCACUUCAGACAAUUCUGCUUUCAAUCUUGCAACCCCACUGCCUCUAAAGAGAGGGUGUCCCAAGGGCUUAAAUCAAGGUGAGGAAAAACACAGCAGAAUGAAGAAGAAAAUAGAGUUGAUAUCCCUGUCAAGUGUUCUACAGCAGGGACACUGGCUCAGCCGGAGAACUGCUGGGCGGCUAGAGAACGAACGUGGGUCGUGGAGCUUCAAGAGUUGGGGGCUCAUGGGCCCUGCACACCCAGAGUCUCUCUCUUCUUUUCUUCCUCUGAUUGAGUCCUUCCUCACUGACUUGGGUUGGGGUGUGAUGGAAUUUUUGCACCUUACCUUUUUUAUCAUUACUUUUUUUCACUUGAGCUCUUCUGAUCAGAAGCACAUACCUACAGUAAAUGCCACCACUGAUUUCAAAUCACAGGUUUUUUUCCCUCACUUUUGUGACACAGUGUGCUCUAUUGUCAUGAGCCCAGGAGCUCAAAGGUGUCUCACAGUCAGUCACUCCAGCCAAACUAACCCUGUGCAGAUGAAUGCAGGCCCUGGUGUCAGAAAGCACACCGGGCACAGAGGAACAGAAUAUCAGAAUCUUGGGAUUAAUCAUAGGUGUUGAACACUAGGAAAAAACAAUCUGAAAGAGUAAAUUUUUUUUUAUACUUUUCUGUAUUUCUCCAAACAAAAUAUUAUUUUCCAAAAACCAAAGAAAUGGUACAUUCCUGGCACAACUCUAAUCAAGAUAAUCACUGUGUUAUCUCUGCAGAGAGAUAUGAAAUUAUAUGGUAGUGUUGGGCCAUCUUUGAGAAUCUAGUUGUAUCCAUCAAAAGGAAAAGAGAAUCCAGAGUUCUCAGGAUAUACUGGAUUAGGAAAUAUAGACAUAGUUUACUGGGUUCUGAGAGAAACUUUAAUCACUAAAUAGAAUACUGUUAUUAUGGACAUAUUUAAAUUAUCAAAUAGAUGAUGGAAGUUCCAAAUGAGAGAUCAUAUGAGAUCAUCCUGGAAUUGAAAGGUUUGGGGAAGGAAUGUGAGUGUUAAUUUUACAUAAUUUUCCAAGCAGUCAGAAGCCAGUUUAUCUGCAAGACUAAGGGGAAUAGUGAGACCCUGAGUUUGUUGCUCCCCUUCAUUUGACCUUUUCUUUGACCAAAGGAUCUGGACCACAAGGGACUUGAAGAUCCUUCCAGAUCCAACACCUGCUGGGUGAAGGAGAUAUCAAGGAUUCUACCUGGAAGAAUGGGAUCCUCUCCAGUGACCUGCAUCUCUACUCAACCCGACUAGGGGGCAAGUCCCACUCAGGAGAUUCCACAAGAUUUUCAUAAAAGAAAUAUUUGAAAUCAUCAUUUCUAAGUCGUUCUGACACUUCAAAAUUAGAGGCGAUUUUGAAAAGUGACUCCAAAGUUUAAGUUUAAAUAUUUGAUUAGAUCAACCAUGACCCAGAGCAAAGGGUCAUGCACUGUUAGGACACCCAAGGUCCUGCUUCAAGACAUGCAGGGUUCUCUGAAGCUGUGUGCAGAUUUCCCAUCCACCUGUUUGACUAUAUGCACAGGUGCAGGGAAUGUUAUAUAUAUUAUAAAUAUACAUGAUCCUUCCCACUCAUGGGAAGAAUGUCCAUGGAUUUUUGAAAGCAACCGAAAGUCUUUAAAAUGCUUAGGAAGAACUACUGUAUAUAUGGAAGGUAAAAACCAUUGAACUCAUGAGACCUAUAUUCCAGGUCAGUUUUUCCCCCUGAAUACAUCCAUAAUCUCAAAUAUAAAAACAUGAUGUCCUCUGAAAGAGGGGAACACUAUCACUUUGAAGAUUCAAAUCAUACUUAUAUUUCUUUUAUCAUUUUGAGAUUAAAUGGCAUAAAGAAAUGGACUUGUCCUUCCUUUUUCCUUUACAGAUGAGGAAACUGUUAGUCUUUGAGCAAAUAAGUGAUUCACCCCUACCUUACCAUCUGGGAGCUACUCAUUAGAAAGUUGUGAUAGUUCAUGGUCUAUAGCAUGCCACACUGACAAAACACAUAAGCACAUCCUCUGAUCUCUGGCUAAUGAAAUAAACCAUGAAAUAAUAAAAAACUUACGUAUUUUUAAAAAGGCAGAAAUGAUCAUUUGUGAUGGAUCGGAUUUUAUACCUAGGGAAACCAACUGAAGGAAAAAACAUUGCAGCGGCUGCCUCCCGCAUGAGUGAGGAAGCUGACCUGAGCUCAGGAAUUACGUCAGACCCCAGGUUUAGUGAACAGAAGCAGCUGUACUUGAAACCUAGGCUUUCCAACUGUGAGGACCCUGGCUGUUCAGUCCACAAAGGGUCUUUCAUUAGACAUCAAUAAGAGAUUUUUAGCAACGUAUUAUGGAAUUUUAAAUUGUUAGUUUUAUAAUGUGAAUUGGGUUCACAUUUUGUUUACCUUCUAAAAUAAUUUGUGUUACUUCCCCCUUUUAAGUUUUAAAUAACUAAUAACCCAUGUACUAGAAAUAAGCUCCCAUGACCAUUCUCAAGUUCUCUCUUUGUUAUGGUCCUUUCCCUGUGUCCAUUUUCUUCGGUCAUAUUCAGUUCUAUGUGUAUUGCAAAGAGCCCACAUAGUGCAACCAGGGAAUGUCCUGGAAAUAUGUGCAUUUUUUUUUUGCUUUGUGUUUCUGGGUUUGUCAUGGUAUUGGGGGUACAGUGUCAACAACUACAGAGGCUCUGUCUUCAGUGACAAUGGUGAGGAAGUGGGGCAAAUAAACUGGCAACUAAACUUCACUGUGAUAAUUUAGCAGUUUAUUUCUAGUACACUUUACUAUGUAUCAUCUUCUUAUAAUAUCAAACCAUGUUUCUGAGGUAUUGCUCUUCUAAUUCCCAAUAUGCACUUGACAUUUUCCUUUUAUUGAUUAAAUUUGCUAUCUGUCUAAAAUUCAGUUCUUCA